UAUUUAAAAAUAAUAAAAUAUAUCAAUUAUUUAUAUAGCUUUACAUUGUAUUAGGUAUUAUAAAUAAUCUACAGAUGAUUUAAAGCAGGGAUGUCCAAUCUUUUGGCUUCCCUGGGCCACUUUGGAAGAAGAAUUGUCUUGGGCCACACAUAAAAUACACUAAUUAUAGCUGUUGAGGUAAAAAUAAAAAUCACAAAAAAAAACCUCAAUGUUUUAAGAAAGUUUAUGAAUUUUUGUUGGGCUGUAUUCAAAGCCAUCCUGGGCCACAGGUUGGACAUUCUUGAUUUAAAAUAUACAGGAGGGGCUGAGGCAGUGCCUCAUGCCUGUAAUCCCAGCACUUUGGGAGGCCCAGGCGGGCAGAUCAUUUGAGGCCAGGAGUUCAAGACCACCCUGGCCAACAUGGCGAAACCCGUCGCUACUAAAAAUACAAAAAUUAGCUGGGUAUGGUGGUGCACACUUAUAAUCUCAGCUACUAAGGUGGCUGAGGCAGGAGAAUCACUUGAACCUGGGAGGCGGAGGUUACAGUGAGCUGAGAUAGUGCCAGUACACUCCAGACUGGGCGACAGAGUGAGACUUUGUCUCAAUAAAUAAAUAAAUAAAUAGUAUACAGAAGGAUGUGCAUAGGUUAUGUGCAAAUACUAUGCCGUUUUGUAUUAGGUACUUGAGCAUCCCCAGAUUUUGGUAUCUAUGGGAAUCCUGGAACCAAUCCCCCACUGGUGCUGAGGGAUCAGACUGUACAUCUGAUUGCCCAGUGUCUCCACCAUGCCAUUGGAGUCUGUUCCUCCAGUUACAGUUGAGAAACAAGUGAGUCUCGUGGAAAGGGACAAAAACCUGAAUGAGAUGCCUCUACCCAGGGAGGGACUGAAAUUGAUCACAAAGUGUCUCCUCCAAGAAGCUGGAAGCUUGUUAGAACUAUUCAUGAAAAAUAAUUCUAUGAGUGUUUUCCUUUAAGGUAAGUUCUAUUUCUUCAGAAGGACAAAACAAAACAAAACAAAAGGGUAAGGAAGAGGAAGGGCCCCCUUUCAACCAAAGUCCAGAAGCCCUCUGAAGGUGAGUGACCCACCCAGGCUCCUCCUCAUCUACCCCUUGACUCUUCCCUCCCAAGACGCCUUACCCUGUCCUCGCCUGGCACAAUCCCUACCCCAGCCUGCACCCUUUAUUGAUGAAACCCCCAUUCCCACCCCUCCCCCAUCCUCUUCCCCAAAACCAGUGCCCUUCUGUGAUCUCCCUGUUGUCCUUCUAAGUUCCAAAGACAACCUGGAAGGGAAAAGGGACCCUUCGAGAAAGUUCCAGGAAAAAAACCACUCCCAAAAAGACUACCACUUCAAGAAAACCCGAGGAAGGGAAUGGGCCAGCACUAUCCAGCCACUAUGACCAGCUGAAUAGGAAACUCACUCAAAAUGAGCCAUAGCAGGACCAAGUUAGCCAGGAGACCUCCACAAUCUCCAGCGUCUCCCUGGACAGCCAGUAAUUUCAAGGCAAGUUCAGAGGCCUAGAUCUAUCUGAGAGGUCUCCAGAGAUCUGACCCCAGAGAACUAGCUAGCAGGGUCUAGGAUACAUUCUAUACCCCACAGGGUACGCCCCAUGGUGAUGAAAAUAAAAUGAAUCUGUUGUAAAAUGAUGUGAGUGUCUUCAUGUUCUAGGAUGGUGGGGAGGGAGGAAGGAGGGAAGAGGUGGUGUGU
rnacentral:lncRNA from 1 species